UCUUGACUAGUAUAUCGGUUAGUACACGCGCUUGUCAUGCGAAUGCCAUUGCAUAAUCGCGCGCGAAAGCUGGGUUCGACUCCCAGGUCGAGAG